CUCCCCAUUUCCUCGUCUCAGCUUCUCCUGACGUUUAAUUUCUUCCCUUCUUCUUCUUCUUCUUCUUCUUCUUCUCGGUGAUUUGAGUUUUGUUUGUUUUCUGCUUCAUGGAAGGACCUUGAGUUCUGUUCCGCUUUUUCACUCCAUGCAUUUCUGGUCUUGAUUCUUCAUUCCGUUUCUCUCUGUUACUGGUUUGAUCCUCAGCUGUUCUGUUCGAUUCCCAGACAAACAAGUGGCUUAAGUUUCGAGGAAAAUCGCUCUGAUGUCUCCACCACUGCUUAGUGUGGAUAAGGAAGUGGCUUCAAUGCCCAGCAGCCAUAUUCCUCAGAGGGCCUUGUCUUUG